GGUUAAGCGACUAAGCGUACACGGUGGAUGCCCUGGCAGUCAGAGGCGAUGAAGGACGUGCUAAUCUGCGAUAAGCGUCGGUAAGGUGAUAUGAACCGUUAUAACCGGCGAUUUCCGAAUGGGGAAACCCAGUGUGUUUCGACACACUAUCAUUAACUGAAUCCAUAGGUUAAUGAGGCGAACCGGGGGAACUGAAACAUCUAAGUACCCCGAGGAAAAGAAAUCAACCGAGAUUCCCCCAGUAGCGGCGAGCGAACGGGGAGGAGCCCAGAGCCUGAAUCAGUGUGUGUGUUAGUGGAAGCGUCUGGAAAGGCGCGCGAUACAGGGUGACAGCCCCGUACACAAAAAUGCACAUGCUGUGAGCUCGAUGAGUAGGGCGGGACACGUGGUAUCCUGUCUGAAUAUGGGGGGACCAUCCUCCAAGGCUAAAUACUCCUGACUGACCGAUAGUGAACCAGUACCGUGAGGGAAAGGCGAAAAGAACCCCGGCGAGGGGAGUGAAAAAGAACCUGAAACCGUGUACGUACAAGCAGUGGGAGCACGCUUAGGCGUGUGACUGCGUACCUUUUGUAUAAUGGGUCAGCGACUUAUAUUCUGUAGCAAGGUUAACCGAAUAGGGGAGCCGAAGGGAAACCGAGUCUUAACUGGGCGUUAAGUUGCAGGGUAUAGACCCGAAACCCGGUGAUCUAGCCAUGGGCAGGUUGAAGGUUGGGUAACACUAACUGGAGGACCGAACCGACUAAUGUUGAAAAAUUAGCGGAUGACUUGUGGCUGGGGGUGAAAGGCCAAUCAAACCGGGAGAUAGCUGGUUCUCCCCGAAAGCUAUUUAGGUAGCGCCUCGUGAAUUCAUCUCCGGGGGUAGAGCACUGUUUCGGCAAGGGGGUCAUCCCGACUUACCAACCCGAUGCAAACUGCGAAUACCGGAGAAUGUUAUCACGGGAGACACACGGCGGGUGCUAACGUCCGUCGUGAAGAGGGAAACAACCCAGACCGCCAGCUAAGGUCCCAAAGUCAUGGUUAAGUGGGAAACGAUGUGGGAAGGCCCAGACAGCCAGGAUGUUGGCUUAGAAGCAGCCAUCAUUUAAAGAAAGCGUAAUAGCUCACUGGUCGAGUCGGCCUGCGCGGAAGAUGUAACGGGGCUAAACCAUGCACCGAAGCUGCGGCAGCGACACUAUGUGUUGUUGGGUAGGGGAGCGUUCUGUAAGCCUGCGAAGGUGUGCUGUGAGGCAUGCUGGAGGUAUCAGAAGUGCGAAUGCUGACAUAAGUAACGAUAAAGCGGGUGAAAAGCCCGCUCGCCGGAAGACCAAGGGUUCCUGUCCAACGUUAAUCGGGGCAGGGUGAGUCGACCCCUAAGGCGAGGCCGAAAGGCGUAGUCGAUGGGAAACAGGUUAAUAUUCCUGUACUUGGUGUUACUGCGAAGGGGGGACGGAGAAGGCUAUGUUGGCCGGGCGACGGUUGUCCCGGUUUAAGCGUGUAGGCUGGUUUUCCAGGCAAAUCCGGAAAAUCAAGGCUGAGGCGUGAUGACGAGGCACUACGGUGCUGAAGCAACAAAUGCCCUGCUUCCAGGAAAAGCCUCUAAGCAUCAGGUAACAUCAAAUCGUACCCCAAACCGACACAGGUGGUCAGGUAGAGAAUACCAAGGCGCUUGAGAGAACUCGGGUGAAGGAACUAGGCAAAAUGGUGCCGUAACUUCGGGAGAAGGCACGCUGAUAUGUAGGUGAAGUCCCUCGCGGAUGGAGCUGAAAUCAGUCGAAGAUACCAGCUGGCUGCAACUGUUUAUUAAAAACACAGCACUGUGCAAACACGAAAGUGGACGUAUACGGUGUGACGCCUGCCCGGUGCCGGAAGGUUAAUUGAUGGGGUCAGCGCAAGCGAAGCUCUUGAUCGAAGCCCCGGUAAACGGCGGCCGUAACUAUAACGGUCCUAAGGUAGCGAAAUUCCUUGUCGGGUAAGUUCCGACCUGCACGAAUGGCGUAAUGAUGGCCAGGCUGUCUCCACCCGAGACUCAGUGAAAUUGAACUCGCUGUGAAGAUGCAGUGUACCCGCGGCAAGACGGAAAGACCCCGUGAACCUUUACUAUAGCUUGACACUGAACAUUGAGCCUUGAUGUGUAGGAUAGGUGGGAGGCUUUGAAGUGUGGACGCCAGUCUGCAUGGAGCCGACCUUGAAAUACCACCCUUUAAUGUUUGAUGUUCUAACGUUGACCCGUGAUCCGGGUUGCGGACAGUGUCUGGUGGGUAGUUUGACUGGGGCGGUCUCCUCCUAAAGAGUAACGGAGGAGCACGAAGGUUGGCUAAUCCUGGUCGGACAUCAGGAGGUUAGUGCAAUGGCAUAAGCCAGCUUGACUGCGAGCGUGACGGCGCGAGCAGGUGCGAAAGCAGGUCAUAGUGAUCCGGUGGUUCUGAAUGGAAGGGCCAUCGCUCAACGGAUAAAAGGUACUCCGGGGAUAACAGGCUGAUACCGCCCAAGAGUUCAUAUCGACGGCGGUGUUUGGCACCUCGAUGUCGGCUCAUCACAUCCUGGGGCUGAAGUAGGUCCCAAGGGUAUGGCUGUUCGCCAUUUAAAGUGGUACGCGAGCUGGGUUUAGAACGUCGUGAGACAGUUCGGUCCCUAUCUGCCGUGGGCGCUGGAGAACUGAGGGGGGCUGCUCCUAGUACGAGAGGACCGGAGUGGACGCAUCACUGGUGUUCGGGUUGUCAUGCCAAUGGCACUGCCCGGUAGCUAAAUGCGGAAGAGAUAAGUGCUGAAAGCAUCUAAGCACGAAACUUGCCCCGAGAUGAGUUCUCCCUGACUCCUUGAGAGUCCUGAAGGAACGUUGAAGACGACGACGUUGAUAGGCCGGGUGUGUAAGCGCAGCGAUGCGUUGAGCUAACCGGUACUAAUGAACCGUGAGGCUUAACCUU
rnacentral:rRNA from 1 species